AAAAAAAAAAAAAUCAUUGACAAAACAGACAUCAGUUAUGCCAAAUGCAACACUUCCAAAUUUACCAGAUCAGUGUGACCCUAGUGCAGGUAAUUUUGAUCCUAUCUAUUAACACACAUAGUGGCUUGAAGAAUGACGAAAAUUGAAAAGUCUACUGUCAUUUUAACAUUGAGACUUCAUUUUACAUGUAGUUACAGAAAUUAUGUUAAACAGCAUUAAUGCAGGCCAAGGGUUUGUGUUUUUAGCUUCUUGGUGUUAGGGAGCUGGAUCUCUGCCUAUCCACUACACACAUUGCCAUGACACAUACUGCAGAAUGGUGUUGGCUGCAACAAAAAAAAUUUAGGUAGAGUUUCAAGACAAUGCUUCUUAAAUUGGUAUAAUGAAAUCAUACUUUCCAACGGAGGACUUUAAAGCGCUUUCAAAAGCUUAUCAAAUACCUGUUUAAAAAUUCCACAUUUAUGGGCAGACCACAAUCACAAAAGUGCAUCACUUUGCUUGUAUACCCAAGACAGGAACUGAAAUGCAGAAUACACUGACACACCUGAUACAAAUGAAGUGUUCCAGCAAGAGGCCAAGAAACUAAAAGAUGUUGUAGGUAAUAAGUUGUUCCUGCCAACAUGAAUUAGAAAACUGACCACAACUUCACAAUCUGGAACAACUGGAAAAUACAGACAUUUCCAUGUCUUAGCUGCACAGAUCAAUUCCACAAUUCAUGAUAAGUAUUUCCAUAACUUAGCUUUUCCUUCUCAAAUCUGCAUGUCUAUUUUGCUAUUAUUUUGUCUUCUGUAGUUAUUUGAUAGUUAGCAAUUGUAUUUCAUCUCAAUUUCCUUUGCAAAUAAAUGUACUUGAUUUAUUAAAACUCUCUCUUUGUCUG